CAACCCUCAAGCCCUGCUUGGUGUUGGGCCACGCCCUCGCGGCCGGCCCCAAAGCCAGUGGCGGUGCCGCCCGGCUCUAAGCGUAGUACGUCUCUCGCUCUAGGGCCCGGCGGUCGCCUGCCAGAACCCAAACUCUUAC
rnacentral:misc_RNA from 1 species